rnacentral:rRNA from 1 species
UACGUAGGGUCCGAGCGUUGUCCGGAAUUACUGGGCGUAAAGAGCUCGUAGGUGGCCUGUCGCGUCGGCUGUGAAAACUCGGGGCUCAACUCCGAGCUUGCAGUCGAUACGGGCAGGCUAGAGUUCGGCAGGGGAGACUGGAAUUCCUGGUGUAGCGGUGAAAUGCGCAGAUAUCAGGAGGAACACCGGUGGCGAAGGCGGGUCUCUGGGCCGAUACUGACACUGAGGAGCGAAAGCGUGGGGAGCGAACAGG